ACCAUGGCUGUGUUAGCUUAGCUAACAGCAGCGUUAGUUAAUCUACUACAGCGAUCACUUAUCAAUAAUCAGAAAAUAAACAUCGAGCCUGAAAACAUGAAACUGUAUCAGACUGAAUGUUCUUUGAGAAAUGUUGGAGUGUUUUUGGUGUUGAAUCCUGAUACAAAUAUCAACGUUUUCUUUGGUUGUUAUGGCAACCAGUCGAUGCAGAGUGAGAAAAAAGUGGCCUUGACUUAUUUUUCAACAGUUUUCUGCGUUAUUUACCCUUUGCUGUGGCACGCCGCACUGGAUAAAACCAGCUUCAUCUCCAGGGGAGCGUGGAAGAGGAGGAGAAACGGAGCAGGAGGAGGAACGUCCGAUCGAUCAGCCUUUGAUGAUCAAGUGAGGCUGCGUAGUCUCCUGCCUGCGACUGAACGGCGGAGGGAGCAACAGGAAGGUCGCUGGCGGACUGCGAUCCCGUCUUCCCCCCGUUAACGAGAUGACGGAGCAAAUGUCUGUCGCUCACUCAUUGUGAAACCUUUCCUGCAUGGCUGCUGAGCAUCGCUUUCACUAGCCAGCUCAGCUUUAAAUACCAGAGCAGAAGCUCGAAAUGGGAAAUGCCGCCGCAGGUCGA